rnacentral:lncRNA from 1 species
GAGCACAGUGGCUCAUGCCUGUAAUCCCAGCACUUUGUGAGGCUGAGUCAGGUAGAUCACCUGAGGUCAGGAGCUCAAGACCAGCCUGGCCAAAAUGGUUCUGCCUGCAGGGAAGAUUGUGACAUAUUGCUGGAAACAACACCAACAUAAUGUUGCUCUUUUGCCUGGGACCUGCCCUCAAAAGGCAUUGUGAUAUACUGGUGGGCCAAGCUCGAAGGUGAUGAGGAAUUGUGAUGUAUCACUGGGCCCAGCAUGCAGGUAAUGUGACUCUCCUGCACAGGCCCUGCCCACAGGGGUGAUUGUGGCAGAUUGCUGAUCCCAGCUCCCAUGUGAUGUGCUCUCCUCCACUGCUUCGGCUCUGCUUAAAAAGGGAAUGUGAUGUAUCUCUUGGUACAGCAUCGAGGUGAUGUCUCUCUCCUUUUCUGCCUGGGCCCUGCAUACUUUGUGUAGUGUAGCAUAUGGCUGAGUCUAAGACCUACUUGGUGUGACUCUCCUGCAUGUGUCCUGCCCACAAGGUAUUGUGACA